rnacentral:rRNA from 1 species
UACGUAGGGGGCAAGCGUUGUCCGGAAUCAUUGGGCGUAAAGCGCGUGUAGGCGGCUCGAUAAGUCUGCUGUGAAAGUUCAGGGCUCAACCCUGAAAUGCCGGUGGAAACUGUCGGGCUAGAGUCCGGAAGAGGCGAGUGGAAUUCCUGGUGUAGCGGUGAAAUGCGCAGAUAUCAGGAGGAACACCAAUGGCGAAGGCGGCUCUCUGGGACGGUACUGACGCUGAGACGCGAAAGCGUGGGGAGCGAACAGG